UGUUUCGACUAGGGGGUCAUCCCGACUUACCAACUCGAUGCAAACUGCGAAUACCGAAGAAUGUUAUCACGGGAGACACACGGCGGGUGCUAACGUCCGUCGUGAAGAGGGAAACAACCCAGACCGCCAGCUAAGGUCCCAAAGUCAUGGUUAAGUGGGAAACGAAGUGGGAAGGCUCAGACAGCCAGGAUGUUGGCUUAGAAGCAGCCAUCAUUUAAAGAAAGCGUAAUAGCUCACUGGUCGAGUCGGCCCGCGCGGAAGAUGUAACGGGGCUAAACCAUGCACCGAAGCUGCGGCAGCGACACAAAGUGUUGUUGGGUAGGGGAGCGUUCUGUAAGCCUGCGAAGGUGUACUGUGAGGUAUGCUGGAGGUAUCAGAAGUGCGAAUGCUGACAUAAGUAACGAUAAUGCGGGUGAAAAACCCGCACGCCGGAAGACCAAGGGUUCCUGUCCAACGUUAAUCGGGGCAGGGUGAGUCGACCCCUAAGGCGAGGCUGAAAAGCGUAGUCGAUGGGAAACGGGUUAAUAUUCCCGUACUGGUGGUAACUGCGAUGGGGGAACGGAGAAGGCUAGGUUGUCCGGGCGACGGUCGUCCCGGUUCAAGCAGGUAGGCAGAGUGAUUAGGCAAAUCCGGUCACUUAAUGC
rnacentral:rRNA from 1 species